rnacentral:lncRNA from 1 species
AGGAAGCGUAUGGGAUGUUCUGUGAGACAAGUGAACAGAUGCAUUCAGUAAAUCAAUGCCAUGGUAAAAAUACAUUGCUGGGGGAAACAGAAAAAAUGCUUCCAAUUAAAAGCAAGAUAAGAAAUAGAAUCAUCAUCAUCAUAAUACUCUGAGGUCAGAAGGCACAGUGUGGAAUCAAGGCAUGAAUGGUGAGCUCAUGGAGCUGCUUCUGCUCUUGCUCUGAAAAGUUAGUUUCACUGCCCCAAGAUGCAAGCAUUGCAACAGCCCUUUUGCUUCCACUGCUGUGAGCACCUCACUCAACCCCAAUUCCUGUGGC